GCUUGGAUAUCUUAAAUUUUUAAAGUUUAACUCUGAAGAAGUUAAUAUAGGUAAACACCUUCCAGGUA
rnacentral:tRNA from 1 species